CCUACGGGAGGCAGCAGUGAGGAAUAUUGGUCAAUGGGCGCGAGCCUGAACCAGCCAAGUCGCGUGAAGGAUGACUGCCCUACGGGUUGUAAACCUCUUUUAUCAAGGAGUAAAGUGAGGCUCGUGUGCCGCUUUGUAUGUACUUUAUGAAUAAGGAUCGGCUAACUCCGUGCCAGCAGCCGCGGUAAUACGGAGGAUGCGAGCGUUAUCCGGAUUUAUUUGGUUUAAAGGGAGCGUAGAUGGGUGGUUAAGUCAGUGGUGAAAGUUUGCGGCUCAACCGUACAAGUGCAGUUGAUACUGGCAGUCUUGAGUACAGUUGAGGUAGGCGGAAUUCGUGGUGUAGCGGUGAAAUGCUUAGAUAUCACGAAGAACUCCGAUUGCGAAGGCAGCUUACCAAACUGCCACUGACAUUGAUGCUCGAAAGUGUGGGUAUCAAACAGGAUUAGAUACCCUGGUAGUC
rnacentral:rRNA from 1 species